AUUGAACGCUGGCGGCGUGCUUAACACAUGCAAGUCGAACGGGAAGGCCCUUCGGGGUACACGAGUGGCGAACGGGUGAGUAACACGUGGGUGAUCUGCCCUGCACUUCGGGAUAAGCCUGGGAAACUGGGUCUAAUACCGGAUAGGACUCCUGGCUUCAUGGUUGGGGGUGGAAAGCUUUUGCGGUGUGGGAUGGGCCCGCGGCCUAUCAGCUUGUUGGUGGGGUAAUGGCCUACCAAGGCGACGACGGGUAGCCGGCCUGAGAGGGUGACCGGUCACACUGGGACUGGGAUACGGCCCAGACUCCUACGGGAGGCAGCAGUGGGGAAUAUUGCACAAUGGGCGCAAGCCUGAUGCAGCGACGCCGCGUGAGGGAUGACGGCCUUCGGGUUGUAAACCUCUUUCAGCUAUGACGAAGCGCAAGUGACGGUAGUAGCAGAAGAAGGACCGGCCAACUACGUGCCAGCAGCCGCGGUAA
rnacentral:rRNA from 1 species